AUUCAAGUAGCUCAGUUGGUAGAGCGUUUGCCUUACAUGUAUAAGGCACUGGGUUCAAUCCUCAGCACCACAUA
rnacentral:tRNA from 1 species